rnacentral:lncRNA from 1 species
AGCCUGGCACUUCCUAAGCAAGUGCUGUACCACUGAGCUCCAGCCCCAGCCCCUAACAGUCACUUUGAAAUCCACUUUGCAGAAAGACUGCAGCAGGUAGAAUGGAGACCAGGUGCCAGCGGGGAAUAAAGGCUUCCCACCUGCACACCCCGUCUCAGGUCGAGGAGAGCCGCGUUCUGCAGACACAGCAUGGCGAGGUUACACAGCAGUCCGGGCUGUGGGUCCAGAGGGCUGUGCUGAUGCGCAGGGCCCAGAGCAGUGACGUAAAGGGACACUGAGUCACAGGACGCCUCCCAAGCGUGUUCACCUACUGCCGGGUUAGAGGAAGGAAGAGGCUGAUUAUAGGUCCCCACAUUCUGAGGUCCUGUGGCACAGAGAGAGCUGCCUCCUGACUGCACCCGGGUGAAAAGGAUCCGCUUCCCCGCGAGGGCACCCUCCUCACCUUCUGCACACCUUCCACGCAACUGGGCAAAGGAAGGGACCCCGCAGCGCCCCCUGUAGGCAGCCCGCGUUCUUGCCCCUUGCCUGGGCAGUCACAGCAGUGCCACCCGCUGUGCCAUUCAUCUGGCCUGACCCCUGCUGCAGCCCCUGCUUUGAGAGCCCCUGGCUGGCUGCAUUCACUGCAUUCGGUGACUUGACACCUUCGGCUGUGGGCAGGGCAGAAGCCCGAGGGAAGGGAAGGCUCCUGAAGACUUCAGGGCUUCGUUCCAGGCCUCCAUCUCCAUGGUGCCCGGUUGCCAGUUGGGGUUGACAUCCACUUGUUUGUUUGUUUUGGUACCGGGGAUCGAAUUCUGGACUUUGAGCAUGCGCGGCAGGCAGCGGAACCACUGAGCUAAAUCGCCAGCCCUACAUCGUCUUUUUAACCAGGUAAAAAUUAUUUGCAACUUGCCAAUUUCCUAUAAGUUAACAUCUAGUAUUUUUUUU